AGGACUUGUCAAUAUAGAUCCGAAUCCUAUAUUCGUUUUCAUAGUGUCUUCCGAAGAUGUAGUCGAUGUUUCACCUGUCGAACUUACGGGUGACGACUUCGGUUUUUUUUUAUUGUACGUUCGUUUAGUUGCGUUCUGUUGUGUAAUAUAAAAAAAAAAUAAUGAAUAACUGGCCUACUAUCAUAUUAUGUAAGGAAAGGUCAUGAGAGUCACAACAAGUACGAUUUUUAAAUAUUAACGAGAUAAGUAGUAACAGUUACAUAACAUGAAUAGUAUUAACUCUACAACACUGUCGAUGGAACAAAUACAGUGAUUUUCUUCUUUUCCUCUCAACAAGACCUCUAAACAAUACCCUUUGUUGGAUAAAAUAUUUUAAAAUUAUUUUUAUUAUCACGAUGUCGUUCGAGUUUUUAUUCAUGUUACUGUGAAACUGCAAUGAAGGAAAAUGAUACUACAUGCAUGGUGAAAACACAUAACAAAACAAAAGAAAGAGUAAUGUUUAUGCAACAAAAGGAAGUGUAAAGCCUUAAUAUGCCUACCAAUUUUUUCUUGGAGCCCUUCUCCAUGUUGUUAUCCAGAUAAUCAUCCUACGCGACACAGGUGAACCUAUGUUAUUUACAUGAGCACUAAUUUAUAUGCACAUUAUUUGGAGAACAUUCAGGUAAAGUUUACGUACCGACUGUUUAGCUCGUUUCGCUGCAGCGGCCUCCAAACCUUUCUCGACGGACGUUUUCUUCACUCCCUCUCGGGCUGGUCGAUUUGUUUUUGGCAAUAAGGGCCCUACUCGUGCUUUUGGAUUCCACGCUUCAUCUAUUUGACUCUUUGACUUAGACUUGAAGAUAUAAUCCUCAUCGUCCGAAGCGUCCAGAGCUGGAUAAACUACACGAAAAAUAGCAUAAUAAUAAUUAAUAGGUCACGUACAAGUAAAUUAUCUGCUGGAAUUAUACUCGUGCAAAGGAACAAUCUCUUCAUGUUUUUACGUACUGAAAUCAUCAUCUUGAUGAACUUUAUCGAUGUUUUCUAUCGACUGAUCGUCAUCGUCAUCAUCGUCUUGUGGUUUCGUUUUAGCGUUUUUCGCAGAUUUGGAAGUACUGUUCGAUGUAGUCGAGUAACAUUGCUCACUGAACGACAGCAUUCCUGCGAUAGCCUCCCGCGUCGAUGGUGAUGCCCUGCCAGAACUGGUCGUUUUCAAUUUAUAAAUACUAAGAACACCAAAAACGUAAAGGACAACAGCGCUAUG